rnacentral:lncRNA from 12 species
CCCCCCCCCCCCCCCCCCCCCCCCCCCCCCCCCCCCCCCCCCCCCCCCCCCCCCCCCCCCCCCCCCCCCCCCGUGCCCCCCUCCCACCCCGCUGGAGGCGUUUCCCUGGCACCAGAUGACCCCUGAGCCCCGGUCCCUGUCCUCACCCCCCAUCCCCAUCCCGGUGGGAGGGGUGCUCCUGCCGAGGAGGAGGAGGAGGAGGCACGAGGGGGGAGGAAGAGGAGGCCGGGCAGAGUCCCGAGGCCUUGCUUUAUGCCAGAGUAAUAUAUUUGUGUCUUGACAAUUCAGGAAGGGCUACAAAGUGUUUUUUUUGUUCCGUAGGUGGGAGUUAAACAAUUUCACUGUUGCUUUGGGAUAAGUGAAAAUUUCCUCUCAAUGACUUUUAAGUGCCUGCAUUUCCCUGGGGGCGGGGGGGACGCGCUCGGCCCCGCAGCCGGGGCUGCUGCCUGGGCACCCCAAUUCGUGGGCACCCCGAUUUGAGGGCACCCUGAUUUUGUGGGCACCCCAGUUCGUGGGCACCCUGAUUUCAUGGGCACCCUGAUUCUGGGAAAACCCUGAUUCGUGUGCACCCCAAUUCUGGGGGAACCCCAAUUCGUGGGCACCCCGAUUUUGUGGGAACCCCAGUUCAUGGGCACCCCAACUCUGGGGACACCCUGAUUCUGGGGGCACCCCAGUUCGUGGGCACCCCAAUUCUGGGGCACCCCAGUUUUGGGGCACCCCAGUUUGUGGGCACCCCAAUUCUGGGGCACCCCAGUUUUGGGGCACCCCUCUGUCCCGGGAGCGGGGCUGGGGCGUCGGGGCCGGAGCUGCUUGUGGUGGCAGAGACCUGUGGAUGCUCCUGGAGAAGGGGUUGGGGAUCCCCCAACGGUUGACACAUCUGCCAACUCUUGAUUUAGUUUGUUUGUUUGUUUGUUUUGUGGUUUUUUGUUUUGUUUUGUUUUUUUUUUUGUUUUUGUUUUUUCGUCAUUUCAUAAAACUUUUCAAUCCAAUAAAGCAUGUAGUCUAUUUUACGAGCUGCUGGCUGCUGCUCUCUUCUUCCAGCCCUUCCCGGG